rnacentral:rRNA from 1 species
CUUUCUUUGCUGGCGACCGGCGCACGGGUGAGUAACACGUAUCCAACCUGCCCUUUACUCGGGGAUAGCCUUUCGAAAUAAAGAUUAAUACCCGAUAGCAUAAUGAUUCCGCAUGGUUUCAUUAUUAAAGGAUUCCGGUAAAGGAUGGGGAUGCGUUCCAUUAGGUUGUUGGUGAGGUAACGGCUCACCAAGCCUUCGAUGGAUAGGGGUUCUGAGAGGAAGGUCCCCCACAUUGGAACUGAGACACGGUCCAA